GGCAGCAUGGUGCAGUGGUUUGAGCGUUGGACUACGAUUCUGGAGCCCCGGGUUCGAAUCCCGGCUCAGCCU